rnacentral:misc_RNA from 1 species
AAUUAUCAAGCUGUGGAUGGCUUUUCGUUAUCUUGGCUUGGUGUUUGGGCUCUGCCGUGUCCUCUACUGGAACGGCUGGCCUUAAAAGCAUUAGCUGACUCUCAAUGUGGGGACUGGUUCUACUCAGCGUGAUAAUAUUUUGACCGCUGAGGACAUCUUUCGAGAUGGCCAGUCCUCAUUUGGGGCUGCUUUCUAAUCUGGAAUCACGGAUCCUCGUGUCUGUGUUGCCGCUUUCAA